rnacentral:lncRNA from 1 species
CUUCUCUUCCACCAUUAAGAACCGAGUAUAUGGAUAUCGUAAUGCAAAUUUUGCUUCUGAUUUUGGUGACCAGAAGUCCCCCUACAGUUUAUGCUGAGCACUCUGUUGCUUGCAUGGCAACGAAAGAGACUAUCUAGAGUCGUCACCUUCUUCCCGUUAUUGGCAAUCCUCAACUCUGACCGACGGAUCUCUUUUCCGGCAAUCUUUCUAGCAUCCGCUUAUCUCAUAGUCAUGUGCAGCAUAGACGCAUCACAAACACAUUGAUGUAAAGGACCAUGCAGUUUGUGAGAAACAAACUCUUGAUGAAAUUAUGAUACUCUAUGCUCUUUCUCGUA